CGCGACUGCGGCGGCGGUGGUGGGGGGAGCCGCGGGGAUCGCCGAGGGCCGGUCGGCCGCCCCGGGUGCCGCGCGGUGCCGCCGGCGGCGGUGAGGCCCCGCGCGUGUGUCCCGGCUGCGGUCGGCCGCGCUCGAGGGGUCCCCGUGGCGUCCCCUUCCCCGCCGGCCGCCUUUCUCGCGCCUUCCCCGUCGCCCCGGCCUCGCCCGUGGUCUCUCGUCUUCUCCCGGCCCGCUCUUCCGAACCGGGUCGGCGCGUCCCCCGGGUGCGCCUCGCUUCCCGGGCCUGCCGCGGCCCUUCCCCGAGGCGUCCGUCCCGGGCGUCGGCGUCGGGGAGAGCCCGUCCUCCCCGCGUGGCGUCGCCCCGUUCGGCGCGCGCGUGCGCCCGAGCGCGGCCCGGUGGUCCCUCCCGGACAGGCGUUCGUGCGACGUGUGGCGUGGGUCGACCUCCGCCUUGCCGGUCGCUCGCCCUUUCCCCGGGUCGGGGGGUGGGGCCCGGGCCGGGGCCUCGGCCCCGGUCGCGGUCCCCCGUCCCGGGCGGGGGCGGGCGCGCCGGCCGGCCUCGGUCGGCCCUCCCUUGGCCGUCGUGUGGCGUGUGCCACCCCUGCGCCCGCGCCCGCCGGCGGGGCUCGGAGCCGGGCUUCGGCCGGGCCCCGGGCCCUCGACCGGGACCGGUGCGCGGGCGCUGCGGCCGCACGGCGCGACUGUCCCCGGGCCGGGCACCGCGGUCCGCCUCUCGCUCGCCGCCCGGACGUCGGGGCCGCCCCGCGGGGCGGGCGGAGCGCCGUCCCCGCCUCGCCGCCGCCCGCGGGCGCCGGCCGCGCGCGCGCGCGCGUGGCCGCCGGUCCCUCCCGGCCGCCGGGCGCGGGUCGGGCCGUCCGCCUCCUCGCGGGCGGGCGCGACGAAGAAGCGUCGCGGGUCUGUGGCGCGGGGCCCCGGUGGUCGUGUCGCGUGGGGGGCGGGUGGUUGGGGCGUCCGGUUCGCCGCGCCCCGCCCCGGCCCCACCGGUCCCGGCCGCCGCCCCCGCGCCCGCUCGCUCCCUCCCGUCCGCCCGUCCGCGGCCCGUCCGUCCGUCCGUCCGUCGUCCUCCUCGCUUGCGGGGCGCCGGGCCCGUCCUCGCCGCGCUCUACCUACCUACCUGGUUGAUCCUGCCAGUAGCAUAUGCUUGUCUCAAAGAUUAAGCCAUGCAUGUCUAAGUACGCACGGCCGGUACAGUGAAACUGCGAAUGGCUCAUUAAAUCAGUUAUGGUUCCUUUGGUCGCUCGCUCCUCUCCUACUUGGAUAACUGUGGUAAUUCUAGAGCUAAUACAUGCCGACGGGCGCUGACCCCCUUCGCGGGGGGGAUGCGUGCAUUUAUCAGAUCAAAACCAACCCGGUCAGCCCCUCUCCGGCCCCGGCCGGGGGGCGGGCGCCGGCGGCUUUGGUGACUCUAGAUAACCUCGGGCUGAUCGCACGCCCCCCGUGGCGGCGACGACCCAUUCGAACGUCUGCCCUAUCAACUUUCGAUGGUAGUCGCCGUGCCUACCAUGGUGACCACGGGUGACGGGGAAUCAGGGUUCGAUUCCGGAGAGGGAGCCUGAGAAACGGCUACCACAUCCAAGGAAGGCAGCAGGCGCGCAAAUUACCCACUCCCGACCCGGGGAGGUAGUGACGAAAAAUAACAAUACAGGACUCUUUCGAGGCCCUGUAAUUGGAAUGAGUCC
rnacentral:lncRNA from 1 species